UACGUAGGGUGCGAGCGUUAAUCGGAAUUACUGGGCGUAAAGGGUGCGCAGGCGGCCGAGCAAGUCGAGUGUGAAAGCCCCGGGCUAAACUUGGGAAUUGCGCUCGAAACUACUUGGCUGGAGUGUGGCAGAGGAAGGUGGAAUUCCAGGUGUAGCGGUGAAAUGCGUAGAGAUCUGGAGGAACACCGAUGGCGAAGGCAGCCUUCUGGGCCAACACUGACGCUCAUGCACGAAAGCGUGGGGAGCAAACAGG
rnacentral:rRNA from 1 species